rnacentral:lncRNA from 1 species
UUAACAGCUGACAUUUAUUGAGUACUUAUUAUGGGCUUGACAGUUUUAUAAGUGCUUUACGUGGAUGGAGACCUUUAAUGCUCACAACAGCCUUGUGAGGUCAUGGAGUCUUGUCACCCAGGCUGGAGUGCAGUGGUGCGACCUUGGCUCACUGCAACCUCUGCCUCCCGGGUUCAAGUGAUUCUUCUGCCUCAGCCUCUGGAGUAGCUGGGAUUACAGAUGCCUGCCACCACGUCUGGCUAAUUUUUUGUAUUUUUAGUAGAAAAGGGGUUUCACCAUAUGGCCAGACUGGUCUCGGAACUCCUGAUCUCAGGUGAUCCAACCUCCUCAGCCUCCCAAAGUGCUGGGAUUACAGGCGUGAGCCACCGAGCCCGGCUGAGGUCAAUGUUAUUAUUACCAUCUCAUUUUAUAGAUAAGAAAAGAGGCUUGGAGAGGCUCUGGGAUGUCCCCGCAGUCACACAGGCAGUAGGUGGGAGAGCCAGAUUUGAGAAAUAAUAUGAAUUUCAUAUGGCUUAGACACUAGUGGGGGAAAUGAACAUCAACAACCAGUGAUCACAGUGAUCUCUAGAUGCCCUUGGGAAAUGCUGGCCUGGACACACCUGAGUAAGGUCUUGGUGGUGCAGAGCCUGGAAAAAUGAGCACUGAGGCAUUAGCACCUAGCUCAGACUCAUCUGCAAGAACUGCCACUUAUCAGCUGUGAGAGCUUAGGCACCUUACUUCCCCAGGGGCUGAAGACCCCUCCUGACAGAGGGGACAAACUAACCCUGCAAAUAUGCUGGCCUGGGCAAUACCCUGGUGGACAUGUUCAGUGCCUUUCCUUCCUCUUUCUUCUGUCUUCCCACAUGUUCGCUGCCUAAUGGUGGGGAGCUGGGAUUUGAACCUGGUAGUCCAACUUCAGUGCUUGUCCUGGGUGGUGCCAUGUGCCUCUGUCUCCUUGGUGUCCAGAUAGCACCCACAAGCCUGGGUUUUACAGUCAUCACAGUCACUGGUGAGGCCCCUUGAAUCUGCAACUCUAGGAGGAACAGCAACGAGCUGGAGCAGAAAUGAGUGAGAAGCAUCAAGGGGGAUCAGUGCAGUAUGGCACAAAGCACUGCCAUGGGACAAUUCUGCAAAUGAAAUCACACUGGGAAGACAGAUGUUAACUUGGACCAUUCCUGGGAAAUCAGAACAUGGAACAAGAGGAGUAGUUGUGGCCUGUUUGGAAUUGACUUUGUCCUUGCAUUGGCUCCUUGGGUUCU